rnacentral:lncRNA from 1 species
CUCGCUGUGGGAGAUGCUGCUUGCAGAGUCUACGUGGAUUCCCCGUGGAACUCCCGCUCUGCUCAAAGGCUACUCAACUUCCCCGAGACUCCGUUUUCUCAAAUGGAACAUGGAGUAAAAAUAUUUGUAGAGCUGAUAAACUGGCUUGAAGUCAGGCCGUCUCGCUCUUGAUCGCUGCCCGACCCAAGUCCGCUGAAUUCUGGCCAUCGACCUGAAGAAAACGGCGACGCGUGCCAUCGAAGCCCUGUUGGAGUUCUGCUCCGUCAGCGCGGCGGCUUGCAUCCGUAUCUGAAAUGGGGGCGAACUUCCUCGACUGGAAAGGGGGAGACGACGGCUCUCCUGGAUCUGUUUCUUCGGCACAGCAGUGACCAGGGAGCCCUCCUGCCUCCCCCCGCUCCUUGCACUGCCCUUCAGUACAGCGGCUCGCUCCCUGUCCUGCUGUGGUCUCUGGCUGAAAGUUUUCCCAGAUGAACACAAACAAAUCGUUGGAUGAGAUUUCCAGAUUUUGUAAAAACACAGGGAAGAGAAGUCUCCCUUUUUUAGGUUGCGUACUUUUGAAGCCUCAGGGCAGCAGCCCUUGCACGUAGUUCAAAGGAAGCAGAAAGCAGGUGCAGUGACUGCGGGCUAAUAAAAGAGCCCCAGCUGGCCAAGCGCGACGGGGCUAGAGACCAAGUCUGCGGAGGGCAGGCUUCUGGUCUGUGUAGGUGGGCUCCUUUGGGGGAAUCUUCCUCGGGAAGUGGUAAGAGGCUCUUUCCUAGCAGGAAUUGGCCCUCAUAUUGGAAUCGGCCUCAUGCCAUAGUCUUCGUUACAAAGAGUGAGUUUAGGCACAGCACGGCACCUUGGGGCCUGCGGCAGCUAUGGUGAGAGAGAGGGGCCAAAAUAUGUCCUUUCUCCAGCUUGUUGUGCAAACUCACGGAUCCCGAUCAAUGACCAGCUCCCAAUAGGAGGUGACACUAAGAGAAACAAUCGUGGAUCUGCAAACAUACCCCAAGCAGCCCUCUCCCAGUUCAGGCCGCGCAUCCAGAGGAAACGCACCCUUUGUGCAUCGCUCUGGCUAAAACACUGCGCGACGAAGGAGAGGACCCACGCAGGGGCCGACCCGGAACAGGAACAGCUCCGUGCAAGGCGGCGCACAGCACUCCUCGGCGGUCGCGCCCGACAAGAGAGAGUUUACUCACUGUCCUCGAGACUUCACCUGCUCCCGGAGUCGCCGGUGCCGGGCGCCUGCUGCCUGCGAAGCUGGGGUUCUCACAGGGAACCAGCCGCUACAGGCCAGGAAGGUCCCGCUGGUGGGCGGUGCCGGAUGGGCCGUUUCGGUGAGUUCGGGCGCCGCCUGCUGGCCGUUGGGGUGCAGCGACGGAGCCCUGCGUGCUGGGUUUCACUGUGGUCCAGGGAAAGCCUGGAUUUCUCGCUCCCCAGUUGCUCUGUGGAUGGCAGUGGUGAAGCUCCGCUCCAUUUCUGACACUUUACCUCUUAGCAUAUGUCAUCUUCUAUUUUUCCAAUCAUUUCCCAUAUUCACCUAAAUUUGUAGCACGAAUAAGUG